GAUGAACGCUGGCGGCGCGCCUAACACAUGCAAGUCGAACGGCACCCACCUCCGGGUGGAAGCGAGUGGCGAACGGCUGAGUAACACGUGGAGAACCUGCCCCCUCCCCCGGGAUAGCCGCCCGAAAGGACGGGUAAUACCGGAUACCCCGAGGUGCCGCAUGGCACCCCGGCUAAAGCCCCGACGGGAGGGGAUGGCUCCGCGGCCCAUCAGGUAGACGGCGGGGUGACGGCCCACCGUGCCGACAACGGGUAGCCGGGUUGAGAGACCGACCAGCCAGAUUGGGACUGAGACACGGCCCAGAGUCCUACGGGGGGCAGCAGUGGGGAAUCUUGCGCAAUGGGGGGAACCCGGACGCAGCGACGCCGCGUGCGGGACGGAGGCCUUCGGGUCGUAAACCGCUUUCAGCAGGGAAGAGUCAAGACUGUACCUGCAGAAGAAGCCCCGGCUAACUACGUGCCAGCCGCCGCUGUAA
rnacentral:rRNA from 1 species